rnacentral:tRNA from 1 species
CCAGAUAUAGCUCAGUUGGUAGAGCACCUGACUCUAUAGGGAUUCAGGGGGAUCAGGUUCGAACCCCGAUCUGGU